UGCCUGCCUGCCUGCCUGCCUGCCUGCCUGCCUGCCUGCCUGCCUGCCUGCCUGCCUGCCUGCCUGCCUGCCUGCCUGCCUGCCUGCCUGCCUGCCUGGACGGACUUUCCAGUCAACUGCAUGCCAGUAAGAUGACCUUGAGAUCGUGGACUUCGGGGAACAUUUUUUGGUUCCCAUCCUCCAGCUCCACAAAGAUCUUCUAAAAAACCUUAAAAGGUCUAUAGGUGAAAGCCUAUGCUACAUUGAGAAUACCAAAACAGACCUUUGCUCCUUUGAUGGCUAUUCCAGCUUGCUUUUUAAGACCUUCCUCCCUGAUUUUUCUUGACCACAAUUAUGUUGAGUGCAAAUAAAGGGAGGGCCUCUUGGAUGGCUGAA